AUCCUAGCAAAAGCGCGGUCCUCGGUCCCGGCUGGCCGCAUUGCACCCCGGGCUAUAACACUCCCACGAGGGGAGCCACAUUCCCGGGGCAUUUGUCCGGCCGCCGAAACCGAUGCUGGCCUGGAACGUUGAAAAGUGCACCUCCCCGAAGGAAGGUU
rnacentral:rRNA from 1 species